UAGAAUGUUAAUUUAUGUGCAUUUUGAUCAAGAAUUUAAAACUUUUUUUUACAUCAAAUGAAAAUUUGUAUACUCAACUACAACAAACAGCAAAAAAAGCAUUUUCACCAAAACUGUUAUGCAUUUGGGUACACUGAUUGUGCUAUUUACAUUAAUGUAAAUGUUAUCAGUUGCACAUACAUGGAAAAUUGUGAGCAUGAAAAAUAAUAUUCUGGAAAAGUACAGGACAAGUUAUUACACCUUUAAAAGUAUAAGACAGGCUAUUACUUCUAGUAAAGUAAAGAAUAAAAAAAUUUUUCUUAAAAUAUUGCAGCAAAGAAUGCCAGUUCUUCUAAUUUAACACUCUUUACAGUUCUCAUCUUUUAAAUUUUUUGUACAAAACUGUUCAGCUAAUUUACAGAAAACAUUCUUGAAGCAUAGGCACACCCAUGACAAAAAAGGACCAUUGCUUACUUUUCUUGCACGAGUUCAAGCUGGGGUACAAUGUCUCCCAAACUGUUGCCAAUAUUAACAGAGCAUGAGGAAAGGGGUCCACAAGUGAUUGCACAGUACGAAGGUGGUUUCAGAAAUUCUGCUCCAUGAUAAUGCAAAGCCACAUGUUGCAAGAAUGACGCUGCAGAAACUCACAGAUUUGGGAUAUAAGACUUUACCACAUCCUCCAUAUUCUCCUGAUCUUUCACCCACUGACUACCGUUUUUUUAAAGCAUUUAUACAUGUUUAUAAGUGAUAUAAUUUUCAGGUCCAAACCAGAGGUGGAAUCAGCUUUCAAAGAUUUCUUAGCAUCAAAGCCAAUAAGUUUUUAUCAACGAGGCAUAAAUAAUCUUGUUGAUUGAUGGCAGAGAUGCUUAGAUGUCCAUGGCUCAUACAUUGACUAAUCAAAACAUUUUUGUUGUAAAUUUUGCCAGAAUAAAAUUAUGUUUCUGAAA